ACGGUAGCACAGAGGAGCUUGCUCCUUGGGUGACGAGUGCGCGGACGGGUGAGUAAUGUCUGGGAACUGCCCGAUGGAGGGGGAUAACUACUGGAAACGGUAGCUAAUACCGCAUAACGUCGCAAGACCAAAGAGGGGGACCUUCGGGCCUCUUGCCAUCGGAUGUGCCCAGAUGGGAUUAGCUAGUAGGUGGGGUAACGGCUCACCUAGGCGACGAUCCCUAGCUGGUCUGAGAGGAUGACCAGCCACACUGGAACUGAGACACGGUCCAGACUCCUACGGGAGGCAGCAGUGGGGAAUAUUGCACAAUGGGCGCAAGCCUGAUGCAGCCAUGCCGCGUGUAUGAAGAAGGCCUUCGGGUUGUAAAGUACUUUCAGCGAGGAGGAAGGCAUUGUGGUUAAUAACCGCAGUGAUUGACGUUACUCGCAGAAGAAGCACCGGCUAACUCCGUGCCAGCAGCCGCGGUAAUACGGAGGGUGCAAGCGUUAAUCGGAAUUACUGGGCGUAAAGCGCACGCAGGCGGUCUGUCAAGUCGGAUGUGAAAUCCCCGGGCUCAACCUGGGAACUGCAUCCGAAACUGGCACGCUAGAGUCUUGUAGAGGGGGGGUAGAAUUCCAGGUGUAGCGGUGAAAUGCGUAGAGAUCUGGAGGAAUACCGGUGGCGAAGGCGGCCCCCUGGACAAAGACUGACGCUCAGUGCGAAAGCGGUGGGGGAGCAAACAGAUUAGAUACCCUG
rnacentral:rRNA from 1 species